rnacentral:misc_RNA from 1 species
GGGCGUGUGCAAAUUUUGCAUUCUUUAUCAUAAUCAGCUCUCGUCAUGCGAACGUAGGGGUUAUCGCCGAGGCAAGACUCGCAGAUGAUGGGGAGGGCGUGUGCAAAUUUUGCAUUCUUUAUCAUAAUCAGCUCUCGUCAUGCGAACGUAGGGGUUAUCGCCGAGGCAAGACUCGCAGAUGAUGGGGAAAUCAGAGCGCUCCCAGCCAUCAGCUUCCAGAUCCCUUAGCAACCGAUGCGCCAUGGAAAAUCCUAGUCGAGCCCAACUCUGACCUCGUUGCCUUCAG